GGCACUGCCCCUGGGCCCGAGGUGUGCACCAGUAAAAGCCCUUUUACACUCGAAGGCUGCCAACAAAAUAACAUGCUGCAGUAACUGCCUCUGAUGAGAGGAGCUUCUGCUUCAGUUGUUGCAAUUGAGCAGUGACCCUUGCUGAUAAACCUGUGGAUUUUGGUAUCUGUGGGAGGUCCCAGAACAAAUCCCCCAUGGGCAUCAAGGGAAAACUGUCUAUGGUACCACUAUGAUGUCUUAUAGGCUAUGUCAAGCUUGUGAAA
ensembl:lncRNA novel transcript, antisense to IGF1R